UAGUAAUCGCGGAUCAGCAUGCCGCGGUGAAUACGUUCUCGGGCCUUGUACACACCGCCCGUCACACCAUGGGAGUCGGUAACACCCGAAGCCGAUAGUCUAACGAAAGAGGACGUCGUCGAAGGUGGGAUUGAUGACUGGGGUGAAGUCGUAACAAGGUAGC
rnacentral:rRNA from 1 species